GGGGAAUAUUGCACAAUGGGCGCAAGCCUGAUGCAGCCAUGCCGCGUGUAUGAAGAAGGCCUUCGGGUUGUAAAGUACUUUCAGCGGGGAGGAAGGCGAUGCGGUUAAUAACCGCGUCGAUUGACGUUACCCGCAGAAAAAGCACCGGCUAACCCCGGUCCAGCAGCCGCGGUAAUACGGAGGGUGCAAGCGUUAAUCGGAAUUACUGGGCGUAAAGCGCACGCAGGCGGUCUGUUAAGUCAGAUGUGAAAUCCCCGGGCUUAACCUGGGAACUGCAUUUGAAACUGGCAGGCUUGAGUCUUGUAGAGGGGGGUAGAAUUCCAGGUGUAGCGGUGAAAUGCGUAGAGAUGUGGAGGAAUACCGAUGGCGAAGGCAGCCCCCUGGGAUAACACUGACGCUCAUGCACGAAAGCGUGGGGAGCAAA
rnacentral:rRNA from 1 species